UACGUAGGGGGCAAGCGUUGUCCGGCAUUAUUGGGCGUAAAGAGCGUGUAGGCGGCCAGAUAAGUCCGCUGUGAAAUCUCGAGGCUCAACUUCGAGCUGUCGGUGGAAACUAUCUGGCUAGAGUCCGGAAGAGGAGAAUGGAAUUCCUGGUGUAGCGGUGAAAUGCGCAGAUAUCAGGAAGAACACCCGUGGCGAAGGCGGUUCUCUGGGACGGUACUGACGCUGAGACGCGAAAGCCAGGGGAGCGAACGGG
rnacentral:rRNA from 1 species